rnacentral:rRNA from 1 species
UACGUAGGGUGCAAGCGUUAUCCGGAAUUACUGGGCGUAAAGCGUGCGCAGGCGGUUUUGUAAGUCAGAUGUGAAAUCCCCGGGCUUAACCUGGGAACUGCGUUUGAAACUACAAGGCUAGAGUGUGGCAGAGGGGGGUGGAAUUCCACGUGUAGCAGUGAAAUGCGUAGAGAUGUGGAGGAACACCGAUGGCGAAGGCAGCCCCCUGGGUUAACACUGACGCUCAGGCACGAAAGCGUGGGGAGCAAACAGG